UACGUAGGGGGCCAGCGUUGUCCGGACUUACUGGGCGUAAAGCGCGCGCAGGUGGACGAGUAUGUGCCGUGUGAAAGCGCCGUCCUUACGAUGGUGAGGUCAUGGUAGACAGCUUGUCUCGAGGCUCGAAGAGGUCGAUGGAAUUCCGGGUGGAGCGGUGAAAUGCGUAGAGAUCCGGAGGAACACCAGGGGCGAAAGCGGUCGACUGGUCGAGUACUGACACUGAGGCGCGACGGCGUGGGGAGCAAACCGG
rnacentral:rRNA from 1 species